UGCCAUUUCUGCUCGGCUGUGCCCUUAUUCGCCGUUCUAAUUGUUGAAAGAAAAUAUUGUCGAAGCUAUAGUUUCUCCGUUCCCCAUUCUCUUGUUUCUUUUCUGAGGGUGCUUGAAAUACAAAUCAUAACGUAGCUGCUGUAGAAUAAGGUGAAAAGAGGGUUUGUCACGUUAAAAUCGCUACGGGUUUGAUUCUUUGAGGAACCGGAUGAAGAAGCAUUAAGAAAAGUUAUACUGCGUUUGGUUUAUAUGCUGUU